GAAGGGAGUGAGCAGGAUGCUGUGAGAGAGGGUUACUAUUCCAAGUGGCACCUGGGCCAGCAGCAUUGGCAUCACCUGGGACUUGUGAGCAAUCCAGCAUCUCAGGCUCCACUGCAGGUCUCCUAAAUCAGAAUCUACAGUUUAACAAGAUCCCCAGCAGAUGUGUGUGUAAGCUCAAGAACCUGUUGAGAGGAGCACCUAGCAUAAGACCUGGCUUGUGACAGCUGCUCGUGGCAUGCCCUUCUCCACUAAGCCAACUUGUUAAACCUCUUCACGGCUGAGAUCAUGCUGCUUUCUUCUUCAGAUCUGCGACCCUCUAGCUGGGUGACUUUUAGACAAGUGAUCUGACCUCUCUGAGCCAGAGUUUCUACCUUGUAAAAAAAAAAAAAUCCCUUCCUGCAUGGUCAGCUGUCAUGAAAAGGACACAUGGUGAUGGGCAGACAAAGACAAGGCUUAGCUUCGUGUUUGACUCCUAGGAGCGCCCAGUUCAUGGAGGCUGCUGCUGUUACUAAUCUGUUUCCAUCUUCCCCUGGGAAUCCUGAGGUUUAUCUGUGAGCCUUUGGACUGCUGUAUGGACAACAUACUCUGCAGUAGCAUGAAGAAGUGAGUGAAGACCCUCCCUUGAACCGUUUGCCCUGAAAGAACAGAAGUCACAUCUUGAUAUCUCAGUGCCUUUACAGUGCCAGGGAUGGGGUAGGUGCUGAGCGCCUGGUAUGUGCUCACCCUAUGCUGUACAACACACAGAAAGCCCCACAGGGUUUGAACUGUAAUUAGGUAGAGGGUGUGUGGGACUUGCCUUGGGUCUCU
rnacentral:lncRNA from 1 species